ACAACAAGUUAACUGCUGUUCCCAGUUAUAUCUGGUCUUUCCCACCCCCAAACAUACACAAAAGAUUUUUGUCAUUCUUGGCACUGGACAACAGAAGUGAUAAGACAUGCCAGCAGAACUCUAAAGGCAGAAUGUCCUUCCACCUGUUUUAUGCUGUAAGACAAACUUCCAAGUGCGAGGCAGUGUGGAGGGCUGUUUCCUUGAAUGGCAGCUGAAUGCACCGGCGGGAUCCUUGGCAGCAAUGCCCAGGCACUGAAGCCGGGCAUUCAGGAGAGCUAAAUGGAGAAAAGAAACUUGAGCAAACUGCUUCCUGGAACACUGAGAACCUGAAUGGGAAAUUAAGAAGAACCAGAUUCUUUCUAUUCUUCCACCAGCCAAGGUGAUGAGCACAAAAGGAUCCAUCUUAUACAGUGCUUGCCAGCUUCCAUAAUACUACUCACCACGAUGUUGAAAUCACCUGUUCCAGAACCAGUCCUGUCCUUUGACAAGAAGGAUUUAAUUAUCAGUAGUGGUGGGGACUGGCUGGAGAGAGGAAAAACACUUCAAGGACUCUGCCACCUUUCGUAGAUGGAGAGUGCAAAGUUUGUACCAUGGAACUCCUUCUCUAACAGUUACUCUGUGGCAGUGCCUAUUUCAAACCUCCCUUAACUUCUGAUUGUAUAGAUGUUUGUUUCAUUUGUUCAUCUGUUUGUUCACUUAGUCAGAGAUGUUUUAAGCCUUAAGAGAAAUAGUGGACUAGAAAAUGCCUUGGAAAAGUACAAAGUUCAAUCCAAGUAAACUGUUUUUAAACUAGGAACUUAUGAAGCCUAAAAUAUAAAAUGUAUGUACAUGGAUAUGCUCUGAA
rnacentral:lncRNA from 1 species